CCCUUAGACGUCCUGGGCCGCACGCGCGCUACAAUGACUUGCUCAGAAAGUUUUUCCUGGCUCGGAAGAGUUCAGGGUAAUCUUUGUAAUACAAGUCGUGUUAGGGAUCGAUCUUUGCAAUUAUAGAUCUUGAACGAGGAAUGCCUAGUAAGUGCAGUUCAUCAGGCUGUACUGAUUACGUCCCUGCCCUUUGUACACACCGCCCGUCGCUCCUACCGAUUGAGUGAUCCGGUGAGGCUCUGGGACCUGGACGGAAAGAGCGUUUCGCUUGUUCUGUUUGGGAAACUUGGUCGAACCUUAUCAUUUAGAGGAAGGGGAAGUCGUAACA
rnacentral:rRNA from 1 species